GCGACUGUAGUCUAGUGGUUAGGACUGGAGCUUCCCAAGCUUCAAGCGUGGGUUCGAAUCCCGCCAGUCGCACCA
rnacentral:tRNA from 5 species